UGUCUGCCUCUGAUGGGGUGCGGAUGUGUGGUUCGUCACUGGUGAAUGGUGUUCGACGAUGCAGGUGGAUUUUGUGACGAGCGGAUUUACAAUGAGGGAAUGUAGUGUACGUGUCCGAUGAUAGUGAGCGUCUUUUCACUCUGUUCAAGUGUUCGUUUUCCUCUGUUGCCCAACAGUCGUGCGAAUUUGUCCUGACGUGUCCUGACAUGCCCCGAUAUGCAUGCUUUCCUUUGUUAACGCUUUGUAUUUUGUCUUUUUUGACAAGGAACAUUGUCGUCUUGACGAUAGUGCUGCCCUGAGUUCUGCGCGCGUUGAUUUGUUGAGUGCCUUGUCCUCUUAUUAGCCGUUGAUGGGGUUACAUGUUAGGAUAUUUUGUUCUUUUGCAAGUCUCAUUUAGUAAGACUUUGGAAUUCCUACGAUCAGCUUUCGUGCAUGGUGCUCUUCUGCAAUAGUUUCCUAUGCAAUCGUUAUAGAAGAAUAAAGGAAAUAACCUUGGGAUAGUGAUUCAAUAAAUAAUAGGUCCCCUGUCUAGAGCGCACGCGUCCUUGAGCCACGCAGGUGCAUGAGGACGUCAUACCGUGGCUUCACUGCAGAUUGACCUUGUCUAGAGGAGCAUUAGUGAAAAAAAAACAGUGUAGCCCUGAGACAAUAGGAUGAUGUCUGGACCAAUGAGAACGGCCAGCAGGGGGCGCAGGAAUGCUCUUCUCUCUUAGCCUCUCGCAGGUGGCGGUAGGAGCGCGCAGAGGGCGCUACGAGCGCGCGCAUGCGUAGCACCCGUAGAGUGGCGCUUACGUCAGUCCACCUCUGGCUCUCGUUGGGAGAAGACGUGCGGUCGUUCGCUCCGUCGUCACUUGAUCCCUGGCUGUCGACGAGAGCGGACGCUCCGUCGCAGCGGGGAAAAAGAGCUACGAUGCUGGCGCCAUCUGGUGUGAUGCCUUGGAACUAGCGUGCCACCUGCCUCUGCAACCGUCGUGCUCCAGUCGCCCCGGCGUGAUUUCUUCAAGAUGGCGUCGUUGAUUUUCAAAUAAAUCAUUUCCUACUGUCUG